rnacentral:rRNA from 1 species
AAGUGGAUUAGUGGCGCACGGGUGAGUAGAUGCAUAGGAUCACAUGCCCUUUAGUAUGGGAUAGCCACUGGAAACGGUGAUUUAUACUGGAUACUCCAUACGGGGGAAAGUUUUUCGCUAAAGGAUUGGCCUAUGUCCUAUCAGCUUGUUGGUGAGGUAAUGGCUCACCAAGGCUAUGACGGGUAUCCGGCCCGAGAGGGUGAUCGGACACACUGGAACUGAGACACGGUCCAGACUCCUACGGGAGGCAGCAGUAGGGAAUAUUGCUCAAUGGGGGAGAACCCUGAAGCAGCAACGCCGCGUGGAGGAUGAAGGUUUUAGGACUUGUAAACUCCUUUUGUAAGAGAAGAUU